rnacentral:tRNA from 1 species
GCCGAGGUAGCUCAGUUGGUAGAGCAACCCCAUGGUAAGGGGUAGGUCGUGGGUUCAACUCCCAUCCUCGGCUCCA